UCUCUGUGUGUGUCCCUG
rnacentral:miRNA from 1 species